rnacentral:rRNA from 1 species
UAGGGAAUAUUGGACAAUGGGGGCAACCCUGAUCCAGCCAUGCCGCGUGAGUGAAGAAGGCCCUCGGGUUGUAAAGCUCUUUUGUCCGGAAAGAAAAGCAUUCGGUGAAUACCCGGAUGUUCUGACGGUACCGGAAGAAUAAGCACCGGCUAACUACGUGCCAGCAGCCGCGGUAAUACGUAGGGUGCGAGCGUUAAUCGGAAUUACUGGGCGUAAAGCGUGCGCAGGCGGUUUUGUAAGGCAGAUGUGAAAGCACCGGGCUUAACCUGGGAACUGCGUUUGUGACUGGAAUGCUGGAGUACGGCAGAGGGGGGUGGAAUUCCACGUGUAGCAGUGAAAUGCGUAGAGAUGUGGAGGAACACCGAUGGCGAAGGCAGCACCCUGGGCCUGUACUGACGCUCAUGCACGAAAG